rnacentral:rRNA from 1 species
UACGAAGGGGGCUAGCGUUGCUCGGAAUUACUGGGCGUAAAGCGCACGUAGGCGGCUUUGUAAGUUAGAGGUGAAAGCCCGGAGCUCAACUCCGGAAUUGCCUUUAAGACUGCAUCGCUAGAACGUCGGAGAGGUGAGUGGAAUUCCGAGUGUAGAGGUGAAAUUCGUAGAUAUUCGGAAGAACACCAGUGGCGAAGGCGACUCACUGGACGACUGUUGACGCUGAGGUGCGAAAGCGUGGGGAGCAAACAGG